GACGAACGCUGGCGGCGUGCCUAAUACAUGCGAGUAGAACGCUGAAGAGAGGAGCUUACUCUUCUUGGAUGAGUUGCGAACGGGUGAGUAACGCGUAGGUAACCUGCCUUGUAGCGGGGGAUAACUAUUGGAAACGAUAGCUAAUACCGCAUAACAAUGGAUGACACAUGUCAUUUAUUUGAAAGGGGCAAUUGCUCCACUACAAGAUGGACCUGCGUUGUAUUAGCUAGUAGGUGAGGUAAUGGCUCACCUAGGCGACGAUACAUAGCCGACCUGAGAGGGUGAUCGGCCACACUGGGACUGAGACACGGCCCAGACUCCUACGGGAGGCAGCAGUAGGGAAUCUUCGGCAAUGGGGGCAACCCUGACCGAGCAACGCCGCGUGAGUGAAGAAGGGUUUCGGAUCGUAAAGCUCUGUUGUAAGUCAAGAACGGGUGUGAGAGUGGAAAGUUCACACUGUGACGGUAGCUUACCAGAAAGGGACGGCUAACUACGUG
rnacentral:rRNA from 1 species